rnacentral:rRNA from 1 species
CAUUCCGAACACAGAAGUUAAGCUCUCUAGCGCUGAUGGUACUUGGUGGGAAACUGCCUGGGAGAGUAGGACGUAGCUACGU